CCUACGGGAGGCAGCAGUGGGGAAUAUUGCACAAUGGGGGAAACCCUGAUCCAGCGACGCCGCGUGAGUGAAGAAGUCAUUCGUUAUGUAAAGCUCUAUCAGCAGGGAAGAAAAUGACGGUACCUGUGUAGGAUGCCCCGGCUAACAACGUGCCAGCAGCCGCGGUAAUACGCCGGGGGCAAGCGUUAUCCGGAUUUACUGGGUGUAAAGGGGGCGUAGACGGAAGUGCAAGUCUGGAGUGAAAGGCGGGGGCUCAACCGCCGGACUGCACUGGAAACUGUACGGCUGGAGUGCAGGAGAGGUAAGUGGAAUUCCUAGUGUAGCGGGGAAAUGCGUAGAUAUUAGGAGGAACACCAGUGGCGAAGGCGGCUUACUGGACUGUAACUGACGUUGAGGCUCGAAAGCGUGGGGAGCAAACAGGAUUAGAUACCCUAGUAGUC
rnacentral:rRNA from 1 species